rnacentral:rRNA from 1 species
CCUACGGGAGGCAGCAGUGAGGAAUAUUGGUCAAUGGACGAGAGCCUGAACCAGCCAAGCCGCGUGAGGGAUGAAGGUACUGCGUAUCGUAAACCUCUUUUGUCAGGGAACAAAGUCGAGUACUAGUCCCGUGAUGUAUGUACCUUAUGAAAAAGCAUCGGCUAACUCCGUGCCAGCAGCCGCGGUAAUACGGAGGAUUCGAGCGUUAUCCGGAUUUAUUGGGUUUAAAGGGUGCGUAGGCGGUCGGGUAAGUUAGAGGUGAAAGCCUGAGGCUCAACGUUAAAAUUGCAUUUGAUACUGUUCGGCUAGAGUGUAGUAGCGGUAGGCGGAAUGUGUGGUGUAGCGGUGAAAUGCUUAGAGAUCACGAAGAACACCGAUUGCGAAGGCAGCUUACCAGGCU